rnacentral:lncRNA from 1 species
ACUGCUUAUUGUUUUAAUAAAAUAAUAUUAUACGUAAAUUCAAAAAUUUUCCCUUUUUGUCCAACCACACAUUCUUCAAAAAAUCACAAUUUUACAUUUUUCUAACAAAGUCAGUUUUAAUGGAGCCCAAACAUCGACAAAAUACUUUUAGGCUUAUUGUAAAGGGAAAAUUAUGUAGAAACCUACUUUUAAAAAUUUGUUUUCGUAAAGAAGAGGGAUCAUUUCAAAUUUCACAUAUUAGGUGGUAAUUAGAUUUUAAUAAUUAUAAUUAAUAAAAGUUAAUUAAACCUAAUAAAGUAAUACAGUUUCAUUUCCAAACCCUAAUCAUUUUUCCCAUCCCUUUUCUCUCUCCACCCUAUCCCUUCUCUCUCUCUCUAUAUCUUCUCAUGUCUCUAUUGCAAAUCAGCACCGGAGAUAUAGUCACCACUGUCGUCGCCGCUCACAACAUCGCCACCAUCGCGGUGGCGCUUUGAAUCAAUUGGUCCGUUGGUGAAGUGGCGUCGUAAGCGACGCGAUGCCUUUAUCUGCGACACCUUUGUCUUCGUCUCCAGUAGCGACGUGAUGAUGCCCCAGGCUUCUGCAUCGUCGGUUAAAUUCCUCACCUUCCUAGCAUAUCCCUUUCAAACGAUAAGGAACAACUUCCAUUUUAUCAUCUUUGAAGCUUUCAUAUUCAGGCCAUAUCCACUACGCUAAAAAAACGGAGGAAAGAUUAGACCAAUUUUUUUUAUUUUCCAUCACCUUCGGUGCAUUUUCACUAUUUACCAGAAUCUAGGAUGCCAGUAAUAAACCCAACGCCAUAGUUACCUCUGAAGAGAAUUCCAUUGGGCGAUUAGGGAGUGACUUCUAGAAAAUCCCAAAUUGUUGUGUGCAAUUGAAAAUUCGAUUAGGAACUACACGAAUGACCACGGGGCAAACCUGAAUUUUGGAUAAUAUUUGCCAUGUGCUCCUUCGCCAAAAGUCACCUGGUUCGUUUAAUUUGUUUCAUUUCUAAAAGAUUCAUCUUCGAUGAACAUGAGAGCAAAUUCAAAACAUUUGUCUGAAUUAGUAAUAGAGUUCUUUAAUUGAAUAGUGGCUAGUUAGAACAGCGGCAAAAAUGAUUGUAGUGAACUAGUUGGUAGUACAUGUGGUUCUAAUGAGGUGAUGUACGUUUGGUUGUCGGUGUUGGGAAUGGUGGUGAGUGACCAAAUAUAUCUUCGUUGUGGCUGUCUGUGAUCAGAUUUGUGUUAACAGUGACCGUAUGUGAGUUGCUCACAAAUUAGACUACCAUGGUCACAAACAAUCACACCGAAGACAAAUUUGGUCAUGAACACAAAAGAUCAUAGUUUAUACGUUAUGGAUCACAAUUUGUCGUUAACGUCACAGUGCAUUGGUCAUAUGUUUGAGUUCACAAGUCACAGCCAUUUCAUAAAAGUCACAAAUCAGUAUAAACGGAUCACGAAUCAAUAUUAAUAGGUCACAUGUCGUUUUGUAGAAGUCACGGAUCAAUUAUAGGUCACAUUUUAUGUUAUGAGUCACGGGUAACAAAUCACAAAAAAUCAUAUUUUACAUGUUGUAAUGGGUCAGAGGUUAUUGCCCACAAAUUAUAGGUUAAAAAUUAUAUUUUAUAUAUUUUAAUUUCUGUAUGCAUUUGAGCUGCUUAAGGAACCAAAAUGUGUUAAGGUUCUAAUUGAGUUUGGUGGCCUUUUCUUUCUUUUUUUUUUUUUUUUUUAAAGAUGCUUGGGUUGGGUGUAAAAUGGUUGAGCAAGAUAUUAAAUAAUUGCUAUUGUAUGCCUGUACCAUAAGUAACUGUUCAAAUGCUAUUUAAGGCUUUUUCGGUAGUGAUUUUGAAAAUUUAUUUUUUGACUUUUAGAGAGAAAAGUGAGUUCUAUCCAUGAGAGAAAAAUAAAAAAUGACGGCUAAAAUAGUGAAAUAACAGUCAAAAUUUUGAUUUUUUAGGGAGAAAAAUCAAUAUCAAACGGGCACUUAUUUUUUUGUCAGAUAUAACAAUUAGACAACUGGUCACAUCCAAUACAUUACUGGUCACAAUAGAUCACAAUUAGCAUACUUGGUCACAAAAGGUCAUAGUCAACAUAUUAAUGGGUUACAAACUUGUAAAAAUGAGUUGCAAUGAAUAAUUGUGGUUAAUUAAUUUGAUAAUUUGCAAUGAAUAAAUGAGUUGUGAUCAAUAAAAGUUUUGAUUUUUGAGUGAUGUAUAGUCUGUGAUCUAUAAAAAUUUUGAUUCGUGAUCGAUACAUAAUCUGUGACCCAUAAAAUUUUUGAUUUGUAACUGAGUUAAGGUCAAGGUUCACUAGUCACAUUUUUGAGCUCACGAGUCACGGUCAUUUCGUAUAAGUCACAACUCAGUACAAACAGGUCACAUGUCAUUUUGUAGAAGUCACAGAUCAAAUUUAUGAGUCACAUUUUAUAUUAUGAGUCACGAGUAACAAAUCGCAGGUUAAAAAUCAUAUUUUAUAUGUCACAAUGUACACAAGUCACAAGUUAUUGCCAAGAAAAAAAAAUUAUGAAUUUAAUAUAUUUAAUUACAAAAAUAUUUUUUUGAUUAAUUAUUUCAUAACUAAAAUUUUAAUAUUAUUUGAUUUUUGAAAUUUCAAACUUUAUUUCUUAAUUUUGAAAUUGAUCAGGUGCAUAUUAAUUCCACCUGAUUAGGUUACAGAUUCAAUAAAACCGAUCACAGAUGAGAAUGUGCACAGGUCACAGAUUUUAUGCAACUGGUCACAGGUCAUUGCCAAUGAGUGGUCACCGGAAUAGUCGUCGAAACAGUUGGAGAGGUCAUCGGAAUAUUCGUCGGAACGGGAUAAGUCACUGGAAGUUGCCGGAGAAGUGUUGAAGUCGCACGUCGUAAGUUGUCGGAGAAGCUACUGAGCCGUCGCCGAAAGUUGCCAGAGUCGUCGCUGGAAGCCGCAGGAGCCGUCGCUGGAGAAGCUGCCGGAGUUGUUGUCGGAGAAGCUGUCCGAGCCGUUGUCAGAAGUCGCCGAAGAAGCUGCCGGAGCUGUCGUUGGAAGUGAGGUGGGAUGGAGAGAGAAAGAGAAUGGUUUAAUGUGAUGGGUCGAUAGGUUGGAGAUGGGGUAGAAUAAGUAGAUUAAUUAUAUUAUAUUAUAAUUAAGUAUUUAAUAAAUUUAAUUAUCACCUUAUUUUUGAAAUAUUUUUUGAAGUUUGUUAGUUUUGAAAUAUGAUUUUUAAAUGAAGGACUAAUGU